AGAGUCGAUUGGACAGUCGCUGCCUUCUAUAGUUUCGCAAUAGAGGGGGGAGGAAAGUCCGGGCUCCAUAGGGCAGAGUGCCAGGUAAUGCCUGGGGGGCGCGAGCCUACGGAAAGUGCCACAGAAAAUAACCGCCUAAGCACCUCGGUGCCGGUAAGGGUGAAAAGGUGCGGUAAGAGCGCACCGCAUGACUGGCAACAGUUCAUGGCUAGGUAAACCCCACUCGGAGCAAGACCAAAUAGGGUUCCAUAUGGCGCGGCCCGCGUUGGAACCGGGUAGGUUGCUAAAGGCGUCCAGUGAUGGCCGUCGUAGAGGAAUGACUGUCCUCGACAGAACCCGGCUUACAGAUCGACUCUCCAC
rnacentral:RNase_P_RNA from 1 species